UACGUAGGUGGCUAGCGUUGUCCGGAUUUACUGGGCGUAAAGGGUGCGUAGGCGGUCGGGUAAGUCUGAUGUGAAAUCUCACAGCUUAACUGUGAAACUGCAUUGGAUACUAUCCGGCUCGAGGAAUGGAGGGGAGACUGGAAUACUUGGUGUAGCAGUGAAAUGCGUAGAUAUCAAGUGGAACACCAGUGGCGAAGGCGAGUCUCUGGACAUUUCCUGACGCUGAGGCACGAAAGCCAGGGGAGCAAACGGG
rnacentral:rRNA from 1 species